rnacentral:lncRNA from 1 species
AGACAUUGACGCCCUGAGGCAGGAGAGAGGAGGCUUCAGGAAGCACAUACACAGUCAGAGAGCCUGGUGGAGAGUCCUGCAGCGCACGCAGAGCAGCGUCGGCCUCUCGCGCCGUGGCCGCUCCCAGCGCCGCCUCCUCCCGCGCCGUGCUGCCGCGAUACGCCGUCUCGAUGCGGGACGCGACAUCGGACCGUGAGCUGACGGGCACCCGCUCC